rnacentral:rRNA from 1 species
UACGGAGGAUGCAAGCGUUAUCCGGAAUGAUUGGGCGUAAGCGUCCGCAGGUGGCAAUGUAAGUCUGCUGUCAAAGCGUCUGGCUCAACCAGAUAAAGGCAGUGGAAACUACAUAGCUAGAGUAAGGUAGGGGUAGAGGGAAUUCCUGGUGUAGCGGUGAAAUGCGUAGAGAUCAGGAAGAACACCGGUGGCGAAAGCGCUCUGCUGGACCUUAACUGACACUGAGGGACGAAAGCUAGGGGAGCGAAUGGG